rnacentral:misc_RNA from 1 species
GUUUAAUGUGUUAAGUGAAGCAAUAUGAUCCUGUAAACCCACAAGGUAGAAUAAUCACCCUCAUUUCAAUGGCAUCUAACCCAUUUUAACAUCCUUGGCAAAGAACAUUCUCCAAAAGAUUUAGAUCUCUAUAUUCCAAUACAAGCAAAUAGUUGGAAAAUAUAUGACAAUUAAAAAAAGGAGCGUCCUAUUUGCAGUUCCAAACAUAUAUAAUCUAUCACUGAAAUAGAACUAAAAUUAUUUUAAAACAAUAUUUAUUACAAAAAAAGGGCCUGAAUAUUCAUUCAAAUCUCCAACCUUUGGCCUGGAACUAUAAAAGUUUCCAUCUUGUAAGAUAGCAUUAAGAUUUUAUCCACUAAAGCGAUAUUGUUCAUAAGUAGAGUUGCACAUAUUAAUUAUAUUCAAAUAACUAUGGCGUCAAGCAAAUGCAGGACACACGUCCUAAACCUUUAGUCAAUUUUUAAAACACAGAACUCCAAACUAUUGAAAAACUGUGAUGAAGUCAGAUCAUCUAUUGAUAUAUGUGAAAUUAAGGUGCCUCCAUACUGGAACAAUUUUAGUAAAUAACACAUUAAUGUUAUAGGUCGAUGCAACUACCGUAAUCCACUUGAAAUACUUAAGGCUAACAUUAGGAAAUUAGAAGGGAAAACAGAAAUAAAUUCACCUCCAGAAUUUCCAUUUUCCUCAUGUUUGACAUUAUUUUUAUCCGCUUGAUCAGCAACCAUUUCU